rnacentral:rRNA from 1 species
ACGCUGGCGGCACGCCUAACACAUGCAAGUCGAACGAAGUAGCAAUACUUAGUGGCAGACGGGUGAGUAACAUGUAGGUAUCUGCCCUUUGGCCUGGAAUAACACGAGGAAACUUGUGCUAAUACCGGAUAAGUCUUUACGGAGAAAGCUUUAUGCACCAUUGGAUGAGCCUGCACUUGAUUAGUUUGUUGGUGGGGUAAUGGCCUACCAAGACUGUGAUCAAUAGCUGAUUUGAGAGGAUGAUCAGCCACAUUGGGACUGAGACACGGCCCAAACUCCUACGGGAGGCAGCAGUGGGGAAUCUUGCACAAUGGAGGAAACUCUGAUGCAGCGAUGCCGCGUGAGUGAAGAAGGCCCUUGGGUUGUAAAGCUCUUUCGUCGGGGAAGAAAAUGACUGUACCCGAAUAAGAAGGUCCGGCUAACUUCGUGCCAGCAGCCGCGGUAAUACGAAGGGACCUAGCGUAGUUCGGAAUUACUGGGCUUAAAGAGUUCGUAGGUGGUUGAAAAAGUUGGUGGUGAAAUCCCAGAGCUUAACUCUGGAACUGCCAUCAAAACUUUUCAGCUAGAGUAUGAUAGAGGAAAGCAGAAUUUCUAGUGUAGAGGGUGAAAUUCGUAGAUAUUAGAAAGAAUACCAAUUGCGAAGGCAGCUUUCUGGAUCAUUACUGACACUGAGGAACGAAAGCAUGGGUAGCGAAGAGGAUUAGAUACCCUCGUAGUCCAUGCCGUAAACGAUGUGUGUUAGACGUUGGAAAUUUAUUUUCAGUGUCGCAGGGAAACCGAUAAACACACCGCCUGGGGAGUACGACCGCAAGGUUAAAACUCAAAUGAAUUGACGGGGACCCGCACAAGUAGUGGAGCAUGUGGUUUAAUUCGAAGAUACGCGCAGAACCUUACCAACACUUGACAUGUUCGUCGCGACUCUAAGAGAUUAGAGUUUUCGGUUCGGCCGGACGAAACACAGGUGCUGCAUGGCUGUCGUCAGCUCGUGUCGUGAGAUGUUGGGUUAAGUCCCGCAACGAGCGCAACCCUCACUUUUAGUUGCCAUCAUUAAGUUGGGCACUCUGAAAGAACUGCCAGUGAUAAGUUGGAGGAAGGUGGGGAUGACGUCAAGUCCUCAUGGCCCUUACGUGUUGGGCUACACACGUGCUACAAUGGUAUCUACAACAGGAAGCAAGACUGCGAAGUUAAGCAAAUCCCUAAAAGAUACCUCAGUUCGGAUUGCACUCUGCAACUCGAGUGCAUGAAGCUGGAAUUACUAGUAAUCGUGGAUCAGCGUGCCACGGUGAAUGCGUUCCCGGGUCUUGUACACACCGCC